UGUUAGGGGGUUUCCUAUUUCCUGAUGGUUCUGGGAACACCAUCUCAUGGAUGGUCCUUCCAAUUCUGGGACAGUAGUGGGAGAACAUCACUCAGUACAGCUGGGGGUCUGCAGGACUAGCUUGGCUUUACCAGCAGCUUUGUGACGCAUGUCGGCGUGUAGGCAACGACUCGAACCUAGGACGUUGUGCAUACCUCCUGCAAAUCUGGAUUUGGGAGCGGUUUCCAGUUGGCCAGCCAUACCGUGGAGAACUAGAGCCAUGGCCGCACCAUGAUCCUGAGUCAAGGCCCACCGUUGCUUACUGUUGGAAGAACAUUGGAGCUGUCAGAGGGGAUCCUUUGCGCCGCUACAUGCGUUACAUGGACGACCUAGACUGCCUCACACAAAAUUAGAUAUUCUGGACACCGUACAGUUGAGACGAGCUAGAGGAUUUGG